rnacentral:rRNA from 1 species
UGAACGCUGGCGGCGUGCCUAAUACAUGCAAGUCGAGCGAACAGACGAGGAGCUUGCUCCUCUGACGUUAGCGGCGGACGGGUGAGUAACACGUGGAUAACCUACCUAUAAGACUGGGAUAACUUCGGGAAACCGGAGCUAAUACCGGAUAAUAUAUUGAACCGCAUGGUUCACUAGUGAAAGACGGUUUUGCUGUCACUUAUAGAUGGAUCCGCGCCGCAUUAGCUAGUUGGUAAGGUAACGGCUUACCAAGGCAACGAUGCGUAGCCGACCUGAGAGGGUGAUCGGCCACACUGGAACUGAGACACGGUCCAGACUCCUACGGGAGGCAGCAGUAGGGAAUCUUCCGCAAAGGGCGAAAGCCUGACGGAGCAACGCCGCGUGAGUGAUGAAGGUCUUCGGAUCGUAAAACUCUGUUAUUAGGGAAGAACAAAUGUGUAAGUAACUAUGCACGUCUUGACGGUACCUAAUCAGAAAGCCACGGCUAACUACGUG